rnacentral:rRNA from 1 species
AUUGAACGCUGGCGGCAGGCCUAACACAUGCAAGUCGAACGAGUGGCGGACGGGUGAGUAAUUUCUGGGAACCUGCCUGAUGGAGGGGGAUAACUACUGGAAACGGUAGCUAAUACCGCAUACCAUCAGAUGUGCCCAGAUUGGAUUGGCUUGUUGCUGGGGUAACGGCUCACCAAGGCGACGAUCACUAGCGGGGCUGAGAGGAUGACAAGCCAAACGGGAACUGAGACACGGUCCAGACUCCGAAGGGAGGCAGCAGUGGGGAAUAUUGCACAAUGGGCGCAAGCCUGAUGCAGCCAUGCCGCGUGUAUGAAGAAGGCCGUCGGGUUGUAAAGUACUUUCAGCGGGGAGGCGUUACCCGCAGAAGAAGCACCGGCUAACUCCGUGCCAGCAGCCGCGGUAAUUC